AGAUGUCUCAUUGACCAUCUGGGAGAGGAUCCAAGUGCCUUAAUCAAAACCUUUGAGGACGGUGCUGAUGCUGUCUUUGUUGAAGAGGCUUUGGCUGAGGAGGUGAUGAAGAUUUACCUGCUGCAGAAUCAAGACAGGUCAGGCGAACCUACUGAUGUGGGUAUUGUUAUUGAAGGCGUUACUGUUCUGGGCAAACUUGGGAAUCUGAGCAAAGCCUGUUGCUAUCUUUUGGGACUGUGCUAUGCUCUGGAUCUGAAAUACCCCAAGAAUUUCAAAUGCACAUUUGAAGCAUUUCAAAAAGUGUUCAUGGAGCUGGAUCCAGGAAACCUUUCUGUCAAGGUUCAAAGACUGAAAAAUGACCUCUGUUCAUUGUAGACAAAAUUUCACAGGGCUGUUCUUAAAGUGCUAGACUUGUUAAGUGACAUGUAAUGCUCAUCAAAAGGUUCAGUUGCGGCAUUACAUUGUGUUGACAUUCCUGUUCAUAAAUAAUGUUUUUACCAUAAACUGUGUUUUUGUAUUAACUUUCCAGAUUCACAUUAAGGUGUAAAUGGGAGAGUAUCAUUAUGAAUGUUUUUUGGUCACUCUUUAGUUAUAAUCUUCCCAAUUUUUUGGAAUCAAAAUAAGAUGUUCAAAAACUAUGUCACAGUGCAAAUGUGUUUUUGUUUUUUUUUUCAGGAUUUAUAUUUUUUUGGGAUCUUAAUUUUAUUUUUGUCAUUUGACCUUUUCUGAAAAGGUAAAGCACUGCGUUCACUUGAGCCACUUUUAUUCUUUGUAUGGCAGGUACAUUUUUCUUGUUGUUAGCAUCAAUAUGCCAGUUUUACAGAGUUUUAUCAAGCAUGCCAAUUUGGAUGCAAUUUUAUUAUAUAAGGCUGUUGUGACUGAAAUUUUAUCCAAGUUUUAUCCACUGAAUGUAGAACAGAUUUCAGCUCACUGUGUUCAGAGAAGGAAUCUGCUAAAUGUGUGAUUCACAAAAAAGCUGUUUAAAAUAAAUCAUUGUGAACAAUG